rnacentral:lncRNA from 1 species
CUUACCUGGAGUUGCAGGGGAAAAGGUAAGACAAGUGAUGCUAGCAUGUUUAAUACAUUAGAUGUGAAGAUGUGCUCACAGAAUACUGAAAUAUAACUGAAAAUCAGACAUUCACAUAUCUCACACAUUUCUAUCUAUGGGGCUUUUUUUUCAUUGGGAAGUUAAUCUUCACUAUAUAUAUUUUUUCUCUCCCUGUAGCAAAGCUCUGCUUUCUCUUUUUUCUCCAAUUGGUUUCCUUCCUGGGAGACUAGUGGGGCACAGGGUCCACAGGGUACAGUAGGAAUCCCAGUUCCAGAAGGUAUGGCAGGGCCGCCUGGGCCUAUGGGACCUCAGGGACCUCCAGGACCCCCUGGACCUGCCUUCCAAAUUACUACUGAUGGGAAAGAAAAAGAAGUUGAUCUUCAAUACAUUCCAGGAGUCAUGGGGCCACCAGGUCCACAGGGACCUCAGGGGAUACCUGGACUACCAGGAACACCUGGUUUACCAGGUAUUCCAGGUCAGAAAGGUGAAGAAGGCCAAAGAGGACGAGAGGGAAUGUCAGGGUUAGAUGGCUUUCCAGGAAAAAUAGGGCUAAAGGGGGAAAGAGGAUGGAAAGGUGAAAAAGGUUAUCCUGGUCGUGCAGUAGGGCCUCCAGGACCACCAGGGCCACCAGGUCGUCCAGGACAAGUUACCUAUAUUAAUGGCAGUGUAAGUGUUAUCAUACAGUAA